GGGUUGUGAGGUUAAGCGACUAAGCGUACACGGUGGAUGCCCUGGCAGUCAGAGGCGAUGAAGGGCGUACUAAUCUGCGAUAAGCGCCGGUAAGGUGAUAUGAACCGUUAUAACCGGCGAUACCCGAAUGGGGAAACCCAGUGUGAUUCGUCACACUAUCAUUAACUGAAUCCAUAGGUUAAUGAGGCGAACCGGGGGAACUGAAACAUCUAAGUACCCCGAGGAAAAGAAAUCAACCGAGAUUCCCCCAGUAGCGGCGAGCGAACGGGGAGGAGCCCAGAGCCUGAAUCAGCAUGUGUGUUAGUGGAAGCGUCUGGAAAGGCGCGCGAUACAGGGUGACAGCCCCGUACACAAAAGCGCAUGUGCUGUGAGCUCGAUGAGUAGGGCGGGACACGUGGUAUCCUGUCUGAAUAUGGGGGGACCAUCCUCCAAGGCUAAAUACUCCUGACUGACCGAUAGUGAACCAGUACCGUGAGGGAAAGGCGAAAAGAACCCCGGCGAGGGGAGUGAAAAAGAACCUGAAACCGUGUACGUACAAGCAGUGGGAGCACCCUUUGGGUGUGACUGCGUACCUUUUGUAUAAUGGGUCAGCGACUUAUAUUCUGUAGCAAGGUUAACCGAAUAGGGGAGCCGGAGGGAAACCGAGUCUUAAUUGGGCGUUAAGUUGCAGGGUAUAGACCCGAAACCCGGUGAUCUAGCCAUGGGCAGGUUGAAGGUUGGGUAACACUAACUGGAGGACCGAACCGACUAAUGUUGAAAAAUUAGCGGAUGACCUGUGGCUGGGGGUGAAAGGCCAAUCAAACCGGGAGAUAGCUGGUUCUCCCCGAAAGCUAUUUAGGUAGCGCCUCGUGAAUUCAUCUCCGGGGGUAGAGCACUGUUUCGGCUAGGGGGCCAUCCCGGCUUACCAACCCGAUGCAAACUGCGAAUACCGGAGAAUGUUAUCACGGGAGACACACGGCGGGUGCUAACGUCCGUCGUGAAGAGGGAAACAACCCAGACCGCCAGCUAAGGUCCCAAAGUCAUGGUUAAGUGGGAAACGAUGUGGGAAGGCCCAGACAGCCAGGAUGUUGGCUUAGAAGCAGCCAUCAUUUAAAGAAAGCGUAAUAGCUCACUGGUCGAGUCGGCCUGCGCGGAAGAUGUAACGGGGCUAAACCAUGCACCGAAGCUGCGGCAGCGACACUGUGUGUUGUUGGGUAGGGGAGCGUUCUGUAAGCCUGUGAAGGUGUGUCGUGAGGCAUGCUGGAGGUAUCAGAAGUGCGAAUGCUGACAUAAGUAACGAUAAAGCGGGUGAAAAGCCCGCUCGCCGGAAGACCAAGGGUUCCUGUCCAACGUUAAUCGGGGCAGGGUGAGUCGACCCCUAAGGCGAGGCCGAAAGGCGUAGUCGAUGGGAAACGGGUUAAUAUUCCCGUACUUGGUGUUACUGCGAAGGGGGGACGGAGAAGGCUAUGUUGGCCGGGCGACGGUUGUCCCGGUUUAAGCGUGUAGGUGUGUGUUCCAGGUAAAUCCGGUUCACUUUAACACUGAGGCGUGACGACGAGGCACUACGGUGCUGAAGCAACAAAUGCCCUGCUUCCAGGAAAAGCCUCUAAGCAUCAGGUAACAUCAAAUCGUACCCCAAACCGACACAGGUGGUCAGGUAGAGAAUACCAAGGCGCUUGAGAGAACUCGGGUGAAGGAACUAGGCAAAAUGGUGCCGUAACUUCGGGAGAAGGCACGCUGACACGUAGGUGAAGUGAUUUACUCAUGGAGCUGAAGUCAGUCGAAGAUACCAGCUGGCUGCAACUGUUUAUUAAAAACACAGCACUGUGCAAACACGAAAGUGGACGUAUACGGUGUGACGCCUGCCCGGUGCCGGAAGGUUAAUUGAUGGGGUCAGCGCAAGCGAAGCUCCUGAUCGAAGCCCCGGUAAACGGCGGCCGUAACUAUAACGGUCCUAAGGUAGCGAAAUUCCUUGUCGGGUAAGUUCCGACCUGCACGAAUGGCGUAAUGAUGGCCAGGCUGUCUCCACCCGAGACUCAGUGAAAUUGAACUCGCUGUGAAGAUGCAGUGUACCCGCGGCAAGACGGAAAGACCCCGUGAACCUUUACUAUAGCUUGACACUGAACAUUGAGCCUUGAUGUGUAGGAUAGGUGGGAGGCUUUGAAGUGUGGACGCCAGUCUGCAUGGAGCCGACCUUGAAAUACCACCCUUUAAUGUUUGAUGUUCUAACGUGGACCCGUUACCCGGGUUGCGGACAGUGUCUGGUGGGUAGUUUGACUGGGGCGGUCUCCUCCUAAAGAGUAACGGAGGAGCACGAAGGUUGGCUAAUCCUGGUCGGACAUCAGGAGGUUAGUGCAAUGGCAUAAGCCAGCUUGACUGCGAGCGUGACGGCGCGAGCAGGUGCGAAAGCAGGUCAUAGUGAUCCGGUGGUUCUGAAUGGAAGGGCCAUCGCUCAACGGAUAAAAGGUACUCCGGGGAUAACAGGCUGAUACCGCCCAAGAGUUCAUAUCGACGGCGGUGUUUGGCACCUCGAUGUCGGCUCAUCACAUCCUGGGGCUGAAGUAGGUCCCAAGGGUAUGGCUGUUCGCCAUUUAAAGUGGUACGCGAGCUGGGUUUAGAACGUCGUGAGACAGUUCGGUCCCUAUCUGCCGUGGGCGCUGGAGAACUGAGGGGGGCUGCUCCUAGUACGAGAGGACCGGAGUGGACGCAUCACUGGUGUUCGGGUUGUCAUGCCAAUGGCACUGCCCGGUAGCUAAAUGCGGAAGAGAUAAGUGCUGAAAGCAUCUAAGCACGAAACUUGCCCCGAG
rnacentral:rRNA from 1 species